rnacentral:rRNA from 1 species
CUGGUAAAGGCGAUGAAGGACGUACUAGACUGCGAUAAGCUACGGGGAGCUGUCAAGAAGCUUUGAUCCGUAGAUUUCCGAAUGGGGCAACCCAAUGUAUAGAGAUAUACAUUACCUAUAUAGGAGCGAACGAGGGGAAUUGAAACAUCUUAGUACCCUCAGGAAAAGAAAUCAAUAGAGAUUGCGUCAGUAGCGGCGAGCGAAAGCGUAAGAGGGCAAACCCAGUGCUUGCACUGGGGGUUGUAGGACUGCAAUGUGCAAGAGGUGAGUUUAGCAGAACAUUCUGGAAAGUAUAGCCAUAGAGGGUGAUAGUCCCGUAUGCGAAAAACAAACCUUAGCUAGCAGUAUCCUGAGUAGGGCGGGACACGAGAAAUCCUGUCUGAAGCUGGGUCGACCACGAUCCAACCCUAAAUACUAAUACCAGAUCGAUAGUGCACAAGUACCGUGAGGGAAAGGUGAAAAGAACUGAGGUGAUCAGAGUGAAAUAGAACCUGAAACCAUUUGCUUACAAUCAUUCAGAGCACUAUGUAGCAAUACAGUGUGAUGGACUGCCUUUUGCAUAAUGAGCCUGCGAGUUGUGGUGUCUGGCAAGGUUAAGCAAACGCGAAGCCGUAGCGAAAGCGAGUCUGAAUAGGGCGCUUAGUCAGAUGCUGCAGACCCGAAACGAAGUGAUCUAUCCAUGAGCAAGUUGAAGCUAGUGUAAGAACUAGUGGAGGACUGAACCCAUAGGCGUUGAAAAGCCCCGGGAUGACUUGUGGAUAGGGGUGAAAGGCCAAUCAAACUUCGUGAUAGCUGGUUCUCUCCGAAAUAUAUUUAGGUAUAGCGUUGUGUCGUAAUAUAAGGGGGUAGAGCACUGAAUGGGCUAGGGCAUACACCAAUGUACCAAACCCUAUCAAACUCCGAAUACCUUAUAUGUAAUCACAGCAGUCAGGCGGCGAGUGAUAAAAUCCGUCGUCAAGAGGGAAACAACCCAGACUACCAGCUAAGGUCCCUAAAUCUUACUUAAGUGGAAAACGAUGUGAAGUUACUUAAACAACCAGGAGGUUGGCUUAGAAGCAGCCAUCCUUUAAAGAAAGCGUAAUAGCUCACUGGUCUAGUGAUUUUGCGCGGAAAAUAUAACGGGGCUAAAGUA